rnacentral:lncRNA from 1 species
UUUCCUUGGAGAUCGUCUUACCUGGGAGUUUCUAGUGAGCACUGAUCCUUGGAAAGGGGGCAGAAGAGGAAGAUGUAGGGGCCUAGGACAACUUUAUGCCUACUUACCCAUUACUAUAUUCACACUGAGGACUGUGGUACUUCUGAGGCAACUGAAGGAUACAGGACAAAUGUCCAAAGCUGCUCUAUGUAGAGUUCCCAGGAACUUAAUGUUACCCUUGGCUGCAGCACUUAAGUGUCAGGGGUGAACUGGCCCCCAAAAUUGCACGACGACAAAUUCAUCAGCUCUGAAUCUGCAUGAGGACAAGACCUUUAUCCUCAAGUUGAACUGUAAGAAUGCCCUUAGGUGAUAUGCUGCAGAUGGUACAGCUGAAAAGAGAAAUGGAUCUGGUUUAGGAGAGAUACCUUCCUUUAAGAUGAUUUUAAAUGUUUGCAUUUUUUAUGCAGCAUUUUAGAGUGUUUCAGCAUCUCCCAUCUGGAAUUCAAUUCCUCUCCCUGUUAAUCAAUAACAGGUCUUAACAAAACAAUAUCUCACAGUAGACACAAGCAUACAGUGCUGAACAAAGCAAAACAGCCAUUGGCUUAGAGCAACAAUUGCUGCUACACAAUGUGUUUUCAAAGCUCAGUAUAUAUUUUGUCCCUAGUGGGAAAACCAUAACAAGACUGAAUUAGUGGCUGGGCUUGCCAAAGGGAGAAAUUAAAGUGCGACUGUUUGUCUGACACCUUGAAGUACCAUUAUUUAUUUCAAGGGAGAAGAUAGUGUAAGGAAAUAAGACGCCCAUUAGGGAAAACUAUUAGCUGUUACUUUCCAGAGUGUGCAGUGGUUUUGCAUGCCUGCUGUAGAACCUAUUCAGUCUAGUUGGAGUACAGCAGUACUUUCUGGUGGAAGGGCUCCUUGGCAGUUCUGGCACCCACAGGAAUGAUGCCUGUGAGGCUGAGAGCUGCAGGGGUGGGGAGGAGCCCAGUGUUUCAGGGGAGGACAGGCUGGCAGGUUUGUCCCCAGUGGGGCGGCUUGGGGCUAGUGUGCACAGGGCUGUUCAGUGAGGGAAAGAGAAAAGGGAGAGAAUAUGUGAGAGUAAAGCAAAUUCCCUUCCCUGCGCACGGUUACCUCUGAGCUUGCAAACUUAACUGCUCAUCUGUGGAUCUUGACAGCUCCUUGCUCUGGCACUAAUGGGCUUCAGAAACUCCCAGUGAGCUGUAAUCGCCUUGGUUCAGGGCUCAGCCUGCACCUUUACAAGCACCUUCACCCCUCGCUGUUAACCUGUGGUCUCCCUUACUUGGCAGCUAAGCUUGUAAAUUCAUGUAACCAAAUAGCUGUGCUGUUAACUGCCUGCACCAAAGUGAACAACACAUCCAUCUUCCAGUGCCCAGCCGGCAGCCUAAUGACAUGUCGCACUGUGCGGUGGUACCUUUUCAGACGUAACUAACUCUGGCACUGCAGAAGCAAUUGUUUCGGCAUUUGCACACACCAUGCAGCUCAUCUGGGCAGAGGAGGGAAGCUGCCUGGGCAGGAGGCCUCCCAUCACUGGCCCUAUGCACUGGGUCCCCGAUGCAACCUCCCCAUGCCACAGCCCAGUGGCUGUGACGGAGACCUUAGCCUGGUUGGUCAACUACACCUGGGGCAGGAGCACACCUGCAACAGGUACAUCUGGGGCUGUGUCUGAUCUUUGACAAGUCUCUUUGAAAAGCUGUGCCUUGGUUUCCUUGUCCACAAAAUAAGCAUAAUUUCCUGAAGUGAAGAGCCACUGGGAGGACAGGUGCUAAUGAAACAUGAAAAAGUGCUAAGGUUUUCUGACUUCUGUAGUUCCUGCCAGUGUCUGUGGUUUAAACCCUUUAGUCUUCAAAUUGGCCUCAGCAAGAAGAAGGUUGACUGAGUGAGGACACAAGGUUCAGGCAAUUGCUAUGUGUGGGUAGCUGUGCCAGGCCGUUCCAAGCUGUCCCCAUGAGGACAGCAAAUCCAUGAGCUCUGAGGAAAUCUCCUGUGAGAGCUGUUCCUCCUGCUUCCAGUGAGGAGGAAGCUGGGCUGCAAGUUCAUUCUUUGCUAGAAAUCCCACACAGAGCUCAGCUGAGUACUUCGAUCAUGGGAACAAGGCUUUACUGCUUCUGCUGUUGCUGGUGUUACCACUUGUUACCAAAGGGGAGAAAGCUCAUCCUUCUGCCUGCAAGUAACUUAGACUUGACAUUGGCAGAGAUGUGGUAUGUGUUCUCCUCCUAGCCCCUAAAGCAACCACAAGCAGUCAAAGUUAAGGAGCAUGUGAGUUAGCAGGGGUUGGAUGAACAGUGCUUUUCUUUAUCUGCUAGUUGCUUACCUGGUGAAAUAGGCAGUCCGAGAAAAUUUCUUAAUUAACAAGGCUCUGUCCUAUGCAGCAUAUGUAUGCAGAUAAUUGAUAUUACAAAAGCAUAGUUUGGCUCAGGACAUUCCCCAGAAUAUUUGUACUGUUAAGGAAAUAUCUUGAAGAAAGGGAAAGAAGGAGCCUAGGCCCUGGCCUCCAGUCAGAGAAGACUGUUAUUUUUCUGUUAAACAUCAUAUCCAACCUCAGAGAAGAGUGGGCGGAGGGUUAAUGAGUUGUCUUUGAAAAUAAUUUUGAGCAAUGCAUAGCAAGAUCUCAGGGAAACAAUGUUUACAGUCUAUAUCCUGCCUCAGAUUCCAUAAACACUGCUCUGGUGCCCCAUUGCCAAAUUUAGCUUUAGUCACCAGGAUGCAGCUGGUGUCCUUUGUAGUCAGGCAUCACUCAGUAGCUUUAAUACAGAUGGACAGAGAGAGUUUUUCCUGGUUAUUGAGCAUCACCUACUCUUACUACUGGUGUGCAUUUGCCUCUGCAGAGGCAGCAAGAAACUUCUUAUGCAUUGAGCCUAAUCUAGCGUCCUUAAUGAUGCACCGUCCCUGCUGAUGUGAGCAGUGGGCUUGUUUCACAGUGCAGAGGAGAAAUGUGUCCUUCAUGAAGCAGACUGUCCUCUGUCCUCCUGAAGGAAGGUGAGGAAUCUACUGCUCUGCCAGUAGUCUGCCUGGGUGUCACAAAAGGUGUAUGGGCAAUUAUAUACAAUCUUAGGAAUUUUGCCAAGUAAUAUUAAGUCCAGAGUGUUUGUUGUUUAACCUUCCCAUCCAUAAGGUACAGGUUACCUUGAACUUUUAGUUCUGUCUAGGUUAACUCACCCCUUCCCUUAGUCCUUUGGCAGAUGGGUAGCCUCUUCUCCCUCCAGUCUUCACUUAGAAGUAUUUGAAAAUUGGGUCAGAAAUUAAUUUGUGCCCCAAAGAAACUUUGGAGGAGAAACAGAUCUUUAAGUAGUUCAGUUGCCACAGUAUAUUUGAAAGAGUUGUUGCCAGGGCUUUUUGUAAUUGUUUAAAAUAUUAAAUAAUGCAAGCUAACAAAGACCAGGCAAAAUACAUAAUUUAUGGAGGGCAUCCCUCUGCUCUUGCAGGUUUUUACUCUGACAGGCCAGGACCAUUCUGCAUUCCCUGUGACGGAGACUUGCAUCCUGCCUAUGUGACUGUCCUAUUCCUUCUUUCUCCAGGGGGAGGGAGGGGAGGAAAUGAAUAAUUUCUGCUUUCCUUCUGUUCCUUCAUCUCUGGCGACUUCUGCACCAGGAAAGAGGAGAUGAACAAUGUCAGAGCUCUACUCAUUCUUUACUGCUUUUCCUUUUUUUUUUUUUUUUUUUUUCCCCUCAUCACCCAAAGAUGGAUGAGGGAAAUGACUGAAAGCACUCGAUAUCCACUCAUCGUUUCAAUCCAGCUCUUUAACAGCUUUCACUAUCCAGUGGCAUGAUGGUCUUUGGUUUGUUAUUUACUGGCUGUUUAAUUUAAAUGUAUCCCCAUCAGGGAGCCGAAAGAUCCAGCCUUAAAGCUCUUUCACAUGAUUUCUCUAAUCACUUUCUAAAUUAUUUAUCAUGACUCUGAACUGUCUGGAGACUCUUAUUUUUUCUUUUUUUUUCUUUUAAGCACUGAUUUGUUCCCAAACAUCUGUAAAAAAUCAUGACUGACCUCCCAUCUGGGCAGCAGCUCAGCUCCGUCCGGGGGCUGGGUCGUGUCAAGUGUGCGAGCUCUGUUUCAAAAGCAUAAAAUUCCUGACACGGUGAAAUUCUUUUCUUACAUAUUUGUUGACAAAAGGCGGACAGGGAAGGGAAGGGAAGGCUGCUGUUAGGAAUGCACGAGCACGAUGCUGCAUAGCUAGGCCAGAAGCGAGUGGAACACUUUGUUACGGAAACGGCCACAAAAAUGCUCCUCCCUGCCUUAGAAAAUGGUUAUUUAAAGCAGAGUUGCUUGCCAGUCCUCCUUGCCACUGUUGUCUUUUGGACGUGGCAUGUGUAAAUAAUAUUUCCGCAUGAAAGAAAACUUUCAGUGAUGACAGUGCUCCUGUGGCCGCUUCCUGUCCCAGAGGGGAGGCACCGGCCCUUCCCUGGAAAUGACGACUCCCUCCAGAGAGAAAGCCCAGGAACUGAGAGGUUUCUUUUCCUCCAAAGCCUCAGAUGAGAGACUUUUGACCUUUAGAAGCAAUGAAAGUGGAAAAAUGGGGCACAGUUUUCAUGGACGUUUCUAAAGGCGUGUACUAGAAAAGUACCUGCGUAAAAGUAAACAUACAGUGAGAAAGUGAAAAAAAAAAAAAGUACAUGAUUUAAAGCAAAGCCCACAUUCCUCUAGGAUUUUUAUAAUCAAAAGUGGCAAUGUGUGCUUUAAAGCUGUUUUUCAAAACAGAUUGCUUUACUUUCACCAGUGUCAGUGAGCAGAAAUCCUUUUAUUUCUGGCUAAUGACAGCUCCUGGCUGUGCAGAAUCUGGGGACACACCUUCAAGAGGCUGCAGUUACCAAGCACACAGAGAAGGCGACAUCCUCCCAUGUGUCUUGUUAACUGUAUUCUGCUUGCAUUUUUCCCUUUUCUUCCCCUUCAUCUUCACGUUUUUUAUGGAGAUUAACCCAUGCCAGACUUAAAGACCCUUAAAUUUUAGGGAAGUUCAGGUACACAUCUGGAUCCCAGCUCUGCAGCUCCAGCUCAUUGCUGUUUGUUAUUGUUAGUGUUGCUUCAGGCCCAGCUCAGGGAUUGUACAAAGUGUUCUUUCAAAAAAAAAAAAAAAAAAAAAAAAGUGUUCUCCUAGCAUCUGAGAAGCACACUCCUUCUGCAAGGUGUUAUAGCCUGAUCACUACAGAAACAUAGGGAAGGAACUUUGGGGGUGCAUAGGGCACUGGGGCUUCAGAAAACAAAGUUUUGAUGGUCUUAGGGGCUUAGAGUCUCUUGCUUGUUUGCUCCUCUACCAGGUGAAGGGAGAGCGCUGGGCCUUCAAGGAGGACCCAGGUGCCCUAAUUUAGGGAACUUAAAGACCUUGCUAUGCACAGAGACUGGGGUGACAUUUAGGCCAUCAGAGCUUAGCUGUUGGAGGCAGGGAGCACCUCUGCUUCUGACUAAUAGGUCCUAGCAGAGAAGGAGGCGUUGAGCAACCUUAGUCCCUGAAGGCUGCAGAGGCACGGCAGAGCUGCUGGGUAUGCCAGAGGUAUGGUUCAUCCUCUUGUCUCUCCUGUAUUUAUCCCUCUGGCUCUGACAACCUAAACUCCUCACUUUAUUUUUCUUGGGAUUUUCUUUGGAUGAACCCUAUUAAAUGCAAUGCUAGCGUUGAAAUUUGCCUACGCCAAUAAGGCCAUCUGUUUUAUUAACUGAAGAAGGUCUCUGGAGUAUUUCUUGCAGGCUUGCAGCCCUUUCUGCCGCCCCCAGCACUUUACAUCAGCCCUGCGAACAAUGGGAGGGGACCCAGGAGGUCGCUGGCAGGAAGCACCUCUUCCCGUGCAUAAUGAACUGGCUGGGAGACUGAGGGAUGGAGAUAGCACACGAGACACACAGCACAAACUGCUGAAACAAUAAACAAACAAACGGAUGGCCAGCACUUCCUCUUCUUAUAUUGUUAACUUUGCUUCCUAAACCCACCCCUCAAAAGCCAGCCUUCUAGGCUUGCUGAUGCUUAACCUCUUUGUUGCCAGAGAUGGCUGAAGGCCCCAGCCAUUGCUUGCCAAUGUGAUAACAGCUGCAAGAGCCUUCUGAAAAAUAUAACAGCACUUUUACAAAAAAAUUGAAUGUAGGAAGAAAUAAUGUGACCAUAAGGCUCUAUGGGUGUAGUGCCUUGGUACCAGGACCGUGCCCCAGGUGGGUACAGACAUUCAGACUCUUUGGGCAGGAUGUCAUUUCACCAUUUCUUAUCUGUUAGCAGGAGAAUUAUGACAGCAGAAACUGAGUGGUGGCAAAGCUAUCUCCAUCCAUGUAGACUCUGAAGAAAAAUGCCUGCUUGAAAAGCAGUUGGGGAUGGUCUUUGGUUCGGUGCAUGCAAGUAUUUCAUCCCAUGGCAGCUGGAGUUCAUGGCCCACAGGAGCUCUGGGUGCAGCAGCGAGGUAGUGGCCCUGCACCUGCCACAGCCUGGCACCGGUUGGUCAGGGGAUCCUACUCCAUGUCACCCUUCAUAGAAUGCUGCCAGGAAGCGGUAAAAGACUAUUUGGGAGAACCAGGCUGGUGCUUCUGGAGCUGAGAAGCCACUUUUCAGAAGGCGUGCUGAUACUUCUCCCCAUCAGCCCCUAAGGUCCAGAGCUAGUUGAGGGGUGGCCUGGAGGCGUCAUGACCCUCCCUGGGACUCUCCCAGCAGCAGGGCAAGGGCUGUCACAGGACAGGCCCUACCUUCUGCUGAGUGCUCCCAGCUGACAGCUGAUUUGUUAUUACUUUAAAUACCCACUGUUUGUGUUAAGCACAGCAAGAAGUCUAGUAAACCGAAAUGGUGACAUUUAAAAAUGAACUAUCUCAAAUAGAUGUUUAGUCCUUCAAAUAGGGAAGCUAUCUGCUAAAUACCAAGUUUAACAGUUAUGUAAUAAGUCCAUAUCAAAACACAGAUAAUGACUGGUUGGCUAUGGUUUAGCAGUUGUUAUUUAAUUAACCUAUAAAGGCUUUCCUACUUAAUCAAAAUUUUAUUUCUGUCCCAAAGACUAUUUAGGGUGUAGUUCUGGAAGUGUUAUCAGUGUUGCUUUAAGUACUGAGGCACUGGUGCAAAGAAAUUACCCAAGGCUACAAGUGCAUGGCUGUGGGCAUGGGAGUGCCACUCCAGACACAUCAAGCCAAGUCACGGGCUGCUGGAGGUAAAGGGACCUCUGGAGGCCACUUGGUCCACUCCCUGCUCAGGCCAGCCAGAACAGGUUGUCCAGGACCGUAUCCAGGUCAGGGCCUCCGUUCUCUUUUCAGUCAUGGCUUACUCUAGAGGAGCUACACCAGCUGUCCUCCUUCCUGUCACCUUCCCUGAAGUCCUCCCUGGUAACUCAUCCUCCAACUUUAGUUACAAAAUGUGCAGCCUCAGGUAAGGAGCAACUGUCCCAGGCAGUGCAUGCCUUAGGCCAGCUCCAGCACUCUUGCUGUCCAUCCCUGAGCCCCAAAGCACAGCCCAGCUUUGGCAUAUUGAUCGUCAGUCAGUUUUUUAAAAGAAUGAACCUCAAAGGCAACAAUACCUUGGCUCAGGCUCUGAGCCCCCAAGAGGGAAGAGAGCUGGGUGGCAGCACAGGAGAUGGCAGGUCCUGUGGCUCUUCCUGGCUGUGCUCCCCUGUGUGGGUUUGGAUGAGUGGAUGAGAGCAGGUCCUUGGAGCACAGCUUGCUUGGCCCUUUGUGGGGAGAUCAGCCUCCUCCCAUAGAGAAAUGGCAGAUUCUCAUGCCUGGUGUGUUUUGACACAUUUUGAGGCCCAGUGGUCUUAAAGCUUUUUCUUUUCUACAGCUAAUAUCACCCCACAUCACAGUAUGUGUCUUCACAGUGUGAGUCAAGUGAAAAUAAGAUGGAUUUGCACAUCCAGCCUUCAGCAAGAAGGAAGAAAUGUGGAGUGAAUUCUUCCUGAGCACAAGUGCUUGGAUUUCAAGGGACUUCCAACCAACCUCCAGUCUCACUUGUGAUGCAGCUCUUCAGCAGUCUGCAAAGAGAUGAUGUGUUCAACCCACUGCUGAAGCCCAAGAAGGAAGAGUAGUGCUGUGGCAACAGCUUCAAAAGGUGCUGCCAAAGUUCCCGUUAAAGCCAGCUAUAGUUUUGCCUGAAUAAGGACCGGAGGACCUAGCCAGAUCUUGUAGGAUAAAAGAAGGGAAGAGUGGAAGAGGCAUCAGUUCAGAACAAUGAGAAGCAGUUCCUGUUGCCCGCCAGCUGCUGCAAGGGAGGUUGUUCCAUGAUUAGUGACCUUCAAAGGCAGUACUUCAGCUCGUUUCUUCAGCCUAGUCUGCUGUUAGAGGAAGACCGUCUUCUCAAUGACCUGACCUCGUCAUGUGUAGGGGAUCACUCACCUCUUAACUGUGAUUGCUCCAAGGCUGCAGGAAAAUUACAUUUUUUGAGAACUUCAUCCCAAAGGCCUGAGCAAUGUUGAGGCACAGAUCUCAGCUAUAUCAUGUUCCCAACACUCUCUCUUUGGAAGCCCGAAGAAAGAAAUGUGCUUGCAGCAUGACGGACAGAAAAACUGGUUCAGGCAAGUCAGAAGCUGUGGAAGAAAUGGAAAGAGAGAAUUGGAGCCAGAAAGUCUCAAAGAGGACAUUUUUUGCUGAUUUUUUUUGGAUGACUGCAUCAGUUUUGAGCACCUCGGAAAAAGCAAUUUGUUUUUCACUCCUGGCAUAUCGUGUUUGUUCAAAUAGAGCCAUUAAAAGUGUGGGCAUAAUAGUUCGUGAGGCAGCUUGUGACCCAUACCACUUUCUCUUGCCUUCUUCACCCUAGUUAAACUUUAGAAGCUUCCCACAUUAUUCUCAAGUGCUUCUUGCAGGGCAACAGUUGGUUUUCAUUGAACUUGGAAUGGAAAACGUGGACAAGUUCUGCAAACUCUUUUGAGAACAGAGAAAUGGGAAAAUGAAGAACAAUAUUUCUCUCUGUAUCAAGAACAGCUGUCACACUAUGCCAAGCACACUAAUGAAAAAAUUAGUAAUAAACAGUUAGCAGUGUAUCUUCAAGAGAAGUGUAACCAACUUACGUGUAGAAAAUAAAGAACUACAAACUAAUGAAGAAAAAUAUAUAGUGUUACAUCCAAACCAGUCAAGCUGUGCAGGGAAAGAAAGGCUAUCCAUUUCUGUCCUGUAAGCCAUGGCACUUUCAUUUGUAAAUUUUCCCUGCUUUUCUCUAUUUUUUAAAAUUGUCUCAUCUAGGCAGCUGGGUCUCUUUUAAGUGAUAGAAACUACCUAAAUGUCAAGAACAUGCUUCAGAAUAAGGAGAUUUAUGCUUAUGACUGUCUCUUUUCCAUAUCUAGU